rnacentral:rRNA from 1 species
ACGUAGGUGGCAAGCGUUGUCCGGAAUUAUUGGGCGUAAAGCGCGCGCAGGCGGGUUAUUAAGUGUGUCUUAAAAGGGCGAGGCUCAACCUCGGGAGGGGAUAGAAACUGGAAGUCUUGAGUGCAGGAGAGGAAAGUGGAAUUCCAAGUGUAGCGGUGAAAUGCGUAGAGAUUUGGAAGAACACCAGUGGCGAAGGCGACUUUCUGGACGAUAUCUGACGCUGAGGCGCGAAAGCUUGGGGAGCAAACAG